rnacentral:tRNA from 1 species
UGGCUCAGUGGUUUAGAGCACUGGCUGNUCUUCCAGAAGACCUGGGUUCAAUUCCCAG